rnacentral:rRNA from 1 species
GAUGAACGCUGGCGGCGUGCCUAAUACAUGCAAGUCGAGCGAACAGACGAGGAGCUUGCUCCUCUGACGUUAGCGGCGGACGGGUGAGUAACACGUGGAUAACCUACCUAUAAGACUGGGAUAACUUCGGGAAACCGGAGCUAAUACCGGAUAAUAUAUUGAACCGCAUGGUUCAAUAGUGAAAGACGGUUUUGCUGUCACUUAUAGAUGGAUCCGCGCCGCAUUAGCUAGUUGGUAAGGUAACGGCUUACCAAGGCAACGAUGCGUAGCCGACCUGAGAGGGUGAUCGGCCACACUGGAACUGAGACACGGUCCAGACUCCUACGGGAGGCAGCAGUAGGGAAUCUUCCGCAAUGGGCGAAAGCGUGACGGAGCAAAGCCGCGUGAGUGAUGAAGGUCUUCGGAUCGUAAAACUCUGUUAUUAGGGAAGAACAAAUGUGUAAGUAACUAUGCACGUCUUGACGGUACCUAAUCAGAAAGCCACGGCUAACUACGUG